UUGGUACUACAUGUACAGGAUAGGUGGGAGGCUUUGAAACCAGGACGCCAGUUUUGGCGGAGCCAUCCUUGGGAUACCACCCUUGUAGUACUGGGACUCUAACCAUAGGCCAUGAAUCUGGUCUUGGGACACUGUCAGGUGGGCAGUUUGACUGGGGCGGUCGCCUCCCAAAAGGUAACGGAGGCGCUCAAAGGUUCUCUCAGUACGGUCGGAAAUCGUACGUAGAGUGUAAAGGCAAAAGAGAGCUUGAUUGCAAGACAUACAGGUCGAGCAAGGAUGAAAAUCGGACUUAGUGAUCCGGUGGUUCUGCGUGGAAGGGCCAUCGCUCAACGGAUAAAAGCUACCCUGGGGAUAACAGGCUUAUCUCCCCCAAGAGUCCACAUCGACGGGGAGGUUUGGCACCUCGAUGUCGGCUCAUCACAUCCUGGGGCUGUAGUAGGUCCCAAGGGUUGGGCUGUUCGCCCAUUAAAGUGGUACGCGAGCUGGGUUCAGAACGUCGUGAGACAGUUCGGUCCCUAUCCGUCGCAGGCGUAGGAAAUUUGAGAAGACCUGUCCUUAGUACGAGAGGACCGGGAUGGACGUACCUCUGGUGUACCAGUUGUUCUGCCAAGGGCAUGGCUGGGUAGCUAUGUACGGAAUGGAUAAGCGCUGAAAGCAUCUAAGCGCGAAGCCAACUUCAAGAUAAGAUUUCCCACCGCAAGGGUAAGACCCCAGAAAGACUAUCUGGUUGAUAGGUCGAAGGUGUAAGUGCAGCAAUGUAUUUAGCUUAUCGAUACUAAUAGGUCGAGGACUUGACCAA
rnacentral:rRNA from 1 species